AUGGGAGCGAAUAUUUUCCCACGCCAACAGGGAGGCCAGUUUCCGGCAGAGGGACUCGGCGGUGUGGGGAGCUACCCAGGAAGGGCUUGCAGCCUCCCAAGGGCAGCGUGUGCAGGCCAAGGGGGUCGGGUAGGGUUGAGCGGGGACUCACCCGGCAGAAAGGCGGCCCAAAUCCCCCUUACUUUUGCGUGUCAAUCCCUCUCUCCCAUUUUGCAUCCUUACUGCACCUCAGUCUCUCCCGUACAGCUGUCACGGAUCUGCGCUCCGAGCCUCCCCCCACCCCUGCCCAACCCCGGCAGGGAACACAGGCACACGCCUCCCUCGGAAAAGUUGGGCGGACACUUCAGGACUUUUCUUUCACUUUGGGGAGAAGGAAGAAGUUGGAGAAGUGGGGGCGGGGGGUGUGAAAGCACUGGGCCAUUCUCUGCAACAUCUCCCCGCGCCCCUCCAACAAGUAGUCCCUCCGCGUGCACACAACGAGGUGACAGCGCCGGGCACCAAACUGCUGAGGGAAGGAGAUGCCUGCAGCCAUCUCAGCUGGGCUGGCGGACGCGACCCGACAGUCACCGGAAAAACAGUGUCGGUUUUCCCCAUCACCUCCCCUCCCCAUCCCACAAUAAAGCGCACGGAAGCUGUCUGCGCGUACCCUGCCCUGCCGCAGGAGCUGAGGAGGAGAGCGAUCUCACCCCUCCAUCCCUCCGGCAGGUGGGCUGCGGUCAGGUACGUUUGGUCCGCAAGUCCUUUUCGGACACAUUGGCAUCUGCUCCCACAGAGCGCCCCAGCAGAACCUGGUCACUGGGGACUCCCAGAGGGGCGGUAGCCACCGCACAGAAGCCAGCGGCAUCCCCCAAGGAGCCGCAAGCCCUACCUGGCUUAACCCCCGGACGUGUGUGUAGCUACCGAUCGAAGAACCCAAACACCCCGAGAGUUCCCUCCUCUAGGCAAGUGAAAACCCCACCGAACUCUCCGCAGCGCUGCCCGCCCAGCUGGCCGUGUCUCGCAGUCCCCGAGGCCACGGGGGCUCCUAGAACCUCCACCCACCUGUGCGGGCUCGGGAGUACUAGGGCGCCGACAGCUGCUGCCGCCGCAUCCCUUAUCUCCAAAGUGCGGCGGGAACGGCCAGGGGACCUGCAGGACACCGCCGGGCCAGCGGGCUUGAGGAGGUCCGGGGGCCCCCGGCGCCGCUUCCCUCCUUACCUGGCGCUCGCUGGGCCCCGGCUGGGGCAUCCGCCGGGUGCGCGCCGCUCCGAGCGCUCGCUGCGCACCUGGCCGCAGACACCGCCCGCUCGGCCCCAGCUCUGGCCGCCGCGCUAG
rnacentral:lncRNA from 1 species